rnacentral:lncRNA from 7 species
GACACAGCCGAGGCCCAGCUGAAGCAGCAGGUCCUCCGAAAUGCCUCUGACGAUGGACAGAUGCCCCAAUUCUCUCAGCAUCUGUGCUAACCUUGAAACCCUACCUGGUACUGAAAGCUUUUGAACAACUUUAACGUGCAACAAACCAUUGGAAUACAAGGGAUGGAAGAAACAAACAAACACCCAUUCCGAGAGAGGUCUUAUUUGUCCAAAAGCAAUCUGAAAUGCAACUAAAUUCCAAGCAACCGCAUGAGCGAAGCAGCUGAAACACUGUCAGCGGAGAAAGACGUGUGCAGGCAGCGCGGGCUGUGCUGAAUUCACUUGCAUGGGAUUUGUUCAGCUGCUGAGAAAUGAAGAAAGUGAUGGGAUGAGAUCUCUUUCACUCCUCCACGUAUUUUAAUAAAUCUGUACAUUUCU